CCGCGGUAAUACGAAGGGUGCAAGCGUUACUCGGAAUUACUGGGCGUAAAGCGCACGUAGGCGGAUACUUAAGUCAGGGGUGAAAUCCCGGGGCUCAACCCCGGAACUGCCUUUGAUACUGGGUAUCUGGAGUAUGGAAGAGGUAAGUGGAAUUCCGAGUGUAGAGGUGAAAUUCGUAGAUAUUCGGAGGAACACCAGUGGCGAAGGCGGCUUACUGGUCCAUUACUGACGCUGAGGUGCGAAAGCGUGGGGAGCAAACAGG
rnacentral:rRNA from 1 species